UUGGCGAGAUGGCGUUUUGUCGUUUUAUCAUCUACCCUUGUGGCCUAUACCUGGACAACCCUAUAUAUGUAAUAUUUAUUGACCCUGUCAUACGUCAAACUGUCAAAUUAAAAAUACGCCGAGCACAUGUAAUUUGUUUACAUUCGAAUUCUAAUAAGAUUUAAGAUGCCAGGGGCAAAGUGCUGCAUUAAUGGAUGCCAAUCCACAUAUUAUGUGCGUGUUGAUGAACAAAUUGUGCAAAGCAACAUUUCCUUUCGCCGUUUUCCGAAGGACGAAGCAAAACGAAACAAAUGGAUUUCAAAUAUCAAAAUGUUUAACAAACAAACUGUUAUUUGGCAAAGCGAUGCACGGAUUUGCAGUUUACAUUUCGAUGAGUUUGAUGAUCCAGUAUAUUUUCCUGCUAUGACGUCGCCAGGAUCGACGCGUAAAUUGGAGUAUUUAGUCUCUGAUUGUGAUGAAGAUGAAGAUCUUUACAAAGAAAACAGAGAGCCUCACCCUCCGAAAAGCGCAAUACGAUAUCCAGGAGAUAUAAAAACCAAAUCUGUUGAAGUUGAUGUACUCAAACGAGCCCUACAUCAAAAACAAAAUCAAAUUAAACAUCUUAAAGCAGAGGU